ACCCACCCCCCAUGCAGUCCUUUGCAUCCAUGGCAAGACUUUGUCCCACACUCCUGUUUCCCCUCAGCACAAACACUGCCGAUCUUUGAGUCUCUAAGUUCUCCACACCCAGAACCCGUGCCUAAUGGAUAAGCAACAGUAACAGUGCUUUGGCCCAUGUCUCUCUGCGACCUAAGACAGGGAAUUAUGGGUUGGGGCUGAAUCAUCAUCAGAGGAAGACAGAUAAAUUUACUUGAGAUGGGAAGGGAGUGUAGAAACAGACCAGCACUCCAGGGGAGGGCUCUGGAGCAAGAAGAGAGCCUCUUGCAGUAAGAUGUCUAAGAUUCUAUGCUCCACACUAGCCAGAGACCCUGAGGGUUGUACCCAGCCUGGGAAGACCCUACUUGCUCCCCUUGGCAGUCACCAAGAGAUUGCUUCAGUUGAAACACUGCAUUCCCAGUCUUCUGAGUGUGUCCUGCCAGAGGCCGUUUCCAAGGGCAAGCCAGCUGCUCCCUGGGAUUUCUGAGGCAUCUAGAAUCAAUCAGUCACCGGAAGUCAGCAGGCAUAUAGAAUCAGUCAGUCACCGGAAGAGGGAACGUCACUUGGAGAAUUGCCCCCAUCAGAUUGGCCUAUGACCAGGUCUGUGAAGCAUUUCCUUCAUUUCACUGAUGUAAGAGGACCAGCCCACUGUGGGAAGUGCUGUCCCUAGGCAGGAUACGGCUCUGCUUUCUAACGCUUCUGUGCCCAGGACCUUGGAAGAAAGAGAAAUCUUCCCGGCCUUUCCAGGAGGCUACGUGAAGGCGAGAGAUGGUGACGUGACUGCUGUGUCAGUAACAGGAGGCAGGUGGGCAACAGAGAAGUGCCAGUGCCUUCUGGGAAGCCUAGUGUGAAAUGGCAAUACAUUGACUCUCACUGACUCUGCUUAGCUGGGUGACUAUGGGUGGAUAUGAAAUACCCCACCCCACCCCGCUCACCAGCCUCAGUUUCCCCAAGGGUACAGUGGGUUGAUAACAAUGGCACCCUUAUGAAUGGUCACUGGGAGGAAGCUAUCCACGACCCUUCACCCAUCCCCUCUGUGUGGCUUGCACUCGCCGGGAACCCAAGAAUGGGUUUGGAUCCAAGCACUACCGCUUCCUAGCAAGUGUCCUUGUAUGACUCACUGAACUUCCUGUAGUUGUUGCCUUAGCUGGAAAACUGAUUGGUUGAUAAGGAACUGUCAGUUGCUGAGAAACUUAACAGUGUCUUUGGCAAUAUCUAAAGAAAGUCUGCUAACUUUUAGUACUCUAUCGCAGUGGUCCUCAACCUUCCUAAUGCUGUGACCCUUUCAUAAGUCCCUCCUGCCCUGGUGACCCCCAACCAUAAAAUUAUUUUCGUUGCUACUUCA
rnacentral:sRNA from 1 species